AGAAACUAUAGCGCCAUCUUGUAAAAAUGGCUGCCUUGUUGUUGGCGACUGUUGGGUGCUUGUUUGGGAAUUAAUGUUUGUUUCCUUCAGUUAUUAUGAUUUAUGUUGAUCUGCCGUGCAAAAUUUAUUGAAUUCGCAUGCAUGGUUUAGUUAACUGAAACAUCAAAUCCGGAGUUCCGGGCCCCAACAGUUGUCCCUUAGGAAAGCAUUUUAUCAAUGACCCACCUUUAUAGUAUUUAAGUGUUACGCAGCAUGUCCAAGAUGUGGCCAGCGUCCCAGUACUCACACAGCAACGCUCACCAGCAGAAUGCUGGCAAGCCAAAUGAGCAUCAAAACCAACAGAACUUGAAAACUUUGGGCAUGACUUCCGCUAUAUCAAUGGCAGGUCCAAAGCCCAUAGACAUCGAGCGUACGAAUCAAUUGAAAGAAUCUCUAACCCCAUUCGGAGUGUUCGAAUCCGAAGCAGAGAUGCAUCAUCGGAUGGAGGUGCUGGGCUCACUGCACAGGCUCGUCAGGCAGUGGAUAAGAGAUGAGUCGCUGCGGAAAAACAUGCCGCCCAGCGUGGCGGACACCGUCGGAGGGAAUAUAUACACGUUCGGAUCAUACAGGCUCGGGGUACAUCACAGAGGCGCGGAUAUAGACGCUUUGUGCGUCGCGCCGCGUCACAUCGACAGGACGGAUUACUUCCAGUCGUUCUACGAACUGCUCAAGUUGCAGCCACAGGUGAAAGAUCUGAGAGCGGUGGAAGACGCGUUCGUGCCCGUAAUAAAGAUGAAUUUUGACGGCAUCGAGAUAGACUUGCUGUUCGCUAGGCUCGCGCUCAAAGAGAUACCUGACUCGUUUGACCUCCGCGACGACAUGCUGCUCAAGAACCUGGAUCAGAAGUGCGUUCGGUCGCUGAACGGAUGUCGCGUCACCGACGAGAUCCUGCGCCUCGUGCCCGAUAUCAAUAACUUCCGGCUCACGCUGCGAGCGAUCAAACUUUGGGCUAAACGUCACGGUAUAUACUCAAACACGCUGGGUUACUUGGGUGGAGUGUCGUGGGCUAUGCUAGUAGCUCGCACAUGCCAGUUGUACCCGAACGCCUUGCCUGCGACUCUCGUGCACAAGUUCUUCCUCGUGUUCAGCCAGUGGAAGUGGCCGCAGCCUGUGCUGCUCAAACAACCGGACCAUGUUAACUUGGGGUUCCCGGUUUGGGAUCCUAGAGUAAACAUGUCGGACCGUUUCCACUUGAUGCCGAUAAUAACGCCCGCGUACCCGCAACAGAACUCCACAUUCAACGUGUCUGCCUCCACCAGAACAAUCAUCAUGGAAGAGUUUAGAUUAGGUCUAACGAUAACGGACGAAAUAAUGCUCGGCAAAUGCGGAUGGGAGCGUCUGUUCGAGGCGCCGAACUUCUUCUCGCGGUACAAGCACUUCAUAGUGCUGCUCGCGUCGUCAGCCACCACCGAGGACCAGCUGCAGUGGUGCGGCCUCAUCGAGAGCAAGAUCAGACAUCUUAUCACGACGUUGGAGCGGAAUCAGCACAUAACGAUAGCGCACGUGAACCCCGAGUGCUACAACUCGGUGCCGCUCAACUCUAAUAACGGACAGCCGCUCGCUUUGCCGCCAGGAACUCCCAUACCCGAUGACCCUGCGCCUGAAAUUAAAAAGAAUGACAAGGGUGAGGUGAUAGCGAACCUCUGUUCGAUGUGGUUCAUCGGACUGGUGUUUGAGAAGACCAGCGUCAACGUGGACCUCACGUACGACAUAUCCUCAUUCACCAAAGCGGUGCACUACCAGGCAGAGAACACUAACAUGGCGCGCGAGGGACUCACCAUUGAGGCGCGUCACGUGCGGCGCAAGCAGCUGCCGCAGUACCUGUCGGCGUCGCUGCUGAAGCGCGAGCGCACCAUCUCGGGCGCGCGGCGCCGCCCGCACGAGCCCGCGCCGCCCGCGCCGCUCGCCCCGCACGCGCCGCACGCACCGCACGCCCCGCACGCACCGCACAAGAAGACCAAGCGAUUGUCAGAGAGCAGCACGGAUGAAGUAAGCGUCCUAUCCUACAACGAAGACUCAAAUUCCUCAAACGUGUACGAAGUGAACCUGCAGAAUGGCACGCACCCGCCCGCCGCGGACAAGGACAAGGAGCAGCCCGCGUCCACGUCGAACAGCAUCGCGUGCACGUAGCACUACGAGCAGUGGCGCCACCGGUUCAUAUUCGGCACCGGACGCGCUCGUACCGCCAAAGCCAAGCGGACGUAAACACCCAACAUGGCCUAGCACACUGGGGGACCUGUAUCUAGACAUUAAUACAACAUAACCCCCAGUAUUGCUGAGUAAAAUCGUACACAAGGGCCAAACUUCCAAGACACUACGGACAAAUGUGACUUAACUGUGAACAGUGAUAGUGUGUGUGAUACAGGAUCAAUAAGGUUAUAAACUUUGGUGCAAUUUAAUGUUUUGGUUGUACGUGGUUAUCCGCUAAGAUUGUACGAAUUUUCGCAGAGGCGGGCGCGCGGCGAAUACGUAACCUAACGCCCGAUGUCGCGCGGAGACGUCACGACGUGUGAUCACGUCCACACGGACGGGACGUCGCGUCGGCGUCACGUAAGUUACGUCACGCUAUGUCAGAUUUAGGAAGUUCGCACGUUUGCAAGAAAGCUAGCCAAUUCAUAGCCAUUAGGAUAAGCAUAGACAACAAUUGUACAUAGUAAAUUUAAAAAUUCUUGUCAAAAUAAUUUGUAAUAUAGAUUUACUUAUGGGUGAUACUAAACAUAAGUUGGUGUUUUUGGUACUUAAAAAAAAAUGUUUUCAGAUGUUUUCACGGCUUUCUUGCGAACGGUAUGAUAGUACAAAGUGGAAGAAAUUUUGUACCUCAUUUAUUUUCUUUUUAAUUCUUUUUUAUUAUAACUCGACAACUUGACUGUUAUCGGCUCUGGCUUCGUGCGUCCAUGUCCAAACGUAUAAUAGUGAUUGUUACAAAUUAGAAAUAGAAUAUAUUUAUUAGAACUUAGACCCUUGUGAGCCCUCCUGAUAUGCAUGCUUGGCUUUUUUCAUGCAUUCUAGCCUCUCCUUCUAUAUUGUAUGUAGUGUUCUUUACAGCAUUGCUCAAUGUAUACCAUACAAAUAAGGAAAACUUUUACCACCGCAGUUCGCAGCUACUGAUAUCAUUCUAUAGCGAACAACAUUUAGUUUUUACGCCAUGUGGAUAAAGAUAAUACAGAAUGUAGUUAUUGUGUGUGCCAGAAUUAAACCUAGCUUUUAUUAGUGUUUACUGUUUAUUUCAUUUGUUACAUAAACCAUUAAUUUGUCACUGUAAAUAAAGUAAUUGAUUUAUUUGUAUAAUGAAUCCACAGUUUUACAUUUUCUAUGAUCCACUUUACAUUGAAUUUCAUAUAGUAUUGUAUUAUCUAUUUCACUUGCAUUUGAUUACUUGAUAGAAAUAAUAUUUUCACCCUACCAACGAAUAAAUAAACAUUCGAGUUGUCGAGUAACACUUUGUCAAAUUGAAGUUUUUGUAGCGUUUUUUAUAUUGUAGAUUUGAAUGUAACGUUUCUUCUACUUAGGUAACAACACGCAGGGUAUAUCGCUGGUAUUUAUUUUGCCGAACAAUUUUACGGUUAGUCGCGCGUCGGAGGUGUGACUCGCGUCCAAUAGACGGCAAGGGCGGGGCUGUUGUGACAGUGACAGUUUUUUUUUUAAUUCGCCGCCAUCUUGAAAUGGCGGUAGUUCGAAAAAUUCAAUGACCGGAAGGCUUUCUCAGUUGUGUACGAUUUUUUUCGCUCGAUUAUUUCAUAAUUAUAUAAUUUACGUAUACUUCGGCUUCUAGUCAUGAGUGUACGCGAGUUUUGAUUAUUAUAGAAGUAUAUUUGGGGUUCCCGCCACAGAAUCGACGCCGUCCUGCAUACGAGUGAAGACAUCAAAAUCUUUGAGGAACAGACACUGCUGUACACAAUAUGACGUGAAUCAAGUUAAACAAUUAAAGCACAAUGUUUAUGAAUUGAUUGAGCAAAAAAUCGUAGUAGCUGGGAUGUAGUUUCGCAGGCCACUGUAGAAAUUAGGUAUGUUUUAUUUGUUUUGAAAACAAUGUUUUGAUUUCUAAUCGAAGGCAGUUUAUUGUCUGUAGAUUUGUAGAGUUCGGUUGAAAAGUCUCCUAGGCCGAUUAGAGCGAGAAAUAAAAAAAAAUGCGUUCGUAUUUUUUAAGUUCAAAAAAAAAAAUGUAUUUUUAGAUAAAAUUGUUAUAAAAAAAUUAAGUUACAAAAAAAAUAUUUUGUGCAGCUGAUGAAUGACAGUAAUGUCUUUCCGCACAUUUAACAAUAAGAUUUGAUCAGAUAGGAUUAGGGCUAUUUUUUAUAAUUAUUUUGUAAUUGAAAGAAAAAGUCGUAACUUAAUUCAAAAGGAAAUACAGUAUGAACUAAUAAACUUUUUGGAAGAAUUCAUUAUAAUAUGGCAGAAAAAUAUUCGUUUUUCAAUUGAAAAUAUCAUAGUCACAGCAACCCCGUUCUCACAACGCGUGAACUUCAACUAGAUGAUAAAACAGAAUAAUUCCACCUAGAUUUAUAAGACUCAAUGUAGUUUUCAAUUAAGGACCUUCUCGAUUAUAUGUAAGUUGUAUAUAUCAAUAGACAAUUGAUUAUUCUAUAUGAGAAUAUAUAUCUGCGAAAAUGAUUCAAAAUUAAAAAAAAAAGAAAUAAAUGUAUAUACAAAAA
rnacentral:misc_RNA from 1 species